GGUUUCGAAUAUUAAAAUGUCUCGAGAGGGUCAAAACGAGAGAGAGAGAGAGAGAGAUAUAUCUGCAAAACAACGAACUCUCCACGAUUCUCUCUCACACCGCUCUCCAAUCUAGAACAAACACAAUGGAGGCGGAGAAGAACGAAGAACUGGAAUGAUUAAGAUGAAGAUUAAACAAGGAUCUGUCUUUCAACUUAUCUAUAUGAAGUUGAACUCCCAUCUGCUUCGUUUUUUCACUGUUUUAUGAACAGGAGUGUCGCAUAUCAGGCUUCACAACGAUUUCAACUCCCCUCCCAGGUUAGCAAAUGGAAAAUGAAAGACGGAUGCACAUAAUGAGGAAUAAAAAGAAGGGGUCAGAGGUUUUCUCUAUAGCGUAUUAGUUGAAAUGAAAAUAUUUGACUAAGUUCGAAAAUACGAGUUUUCGUCAUCACUAUUCUUAAAGUGUUAUGUUUUAAGAGUUAUUGGGUUUUAUGUUUGGUUUUGGCCAUGAUGCUAAUCUCCGAUGUUUGAUAUUUGAUGAUAUGUGAAAGAAUAGGUGGUGUUCAUCUUGGGUUGGAUUAGGGCAUAGUAAAUGGGUGAUUUAGGACAUUUGUUUGGGUGUAAUUGUUAAUGUGUGUGACCUCAUCUAUGUCUGAUUAAGGGCUGGUGUGCUUGGGAGAUCGAUGGCUGCCGCAAGUGUUACAACAGGGCUCGGUAAGCGACCUGUUACAAGUGUUGCUUUUAAGAACCGAUAAAGUAUUUUUGGUUUCUUUCCACCCGUCACAAGUGUGUUUUGCCUGUUUAAAAUUGCUAAAAUAAAUGCAGCUGUGUUU
rnacentral:lncRNA from 1 species